rnacentral:rRNA from 1 species
UAGUAAUGGCAGGUCAGCAUACUGCCGUGAAUACGUUCCCGGGCCUUGUACACACCGCCCGUCACACCAUGAGAGUUGGGGAUACCCGAAGCCUGUGAGCCAACAGUUUACUGAGGCAGCAGUCGAAGGUAGAAUCAAUGAUUGGGGUGAAGUCGUAACAAGGUACC